ACCUUGAUCAUGUGACAGUACAGACUGAUGCUAAAGGCAGCAUGUGACCCUAAAUGCUACGUGAGCUCAAAAAAAAAUUUAAAUACAAAAAUAUAAGCAGGUCUCUCUCUCUCCUUUUUUUUUUUCACCAGCCCUUUUAUAGCUCAGUCCCUACCUUUAGUCUUGAGAGAUCCUGUAGGUUUAGAAAGCUCCCUGCCACAAAUCGCCUGCCAGACCUGGGUAGCAACGUGCCACAGAACUGCGCUACAAAAUCCUGCCCUCUCAUUUUGCAUCACGACUCCCAAUUUGGUCAAAGAAGAGUCAUCCUCCUUUAAGUGCCAAGAAGAGGCCUUCUACCUUCUGGUGCAAGAAGACAUUGAACAAGAAUUGGAAGCUAAAGCUACCAAAGAAGUUGAAAGAAAACUAAGCAGGGAUUUAGUGCAAGAAGAGGAAGAACAGUUGAUGGAAGAAAGGAAAAAGAGAAAAGAAGACAAGAAAAAGAAGGAAGCUGCUCAAAAAAAGGUAUGUGGAUCAUUUAAGUUAAAAAAAAUAGGAUUUGGCUUUUGUUUUUUUUCUCAGACUAAUUUUGCUUAUUGUAAUAUAGCUGUUAAAGAUAAGCCCUUUUUUUUUUUUUUUUAAAUCUCAUUAUAGCACUUCCAAAGCACAAUGCAAUCAUCAAGUAACUGUCUUACUGAACAUCUUUACUGAUCUUGCAGGCAUAGUUUUUUCAAAGCUAAAAAUCUUGUUUAGAUAUCCAUUUAGCUCACAGAUCUUCAGUUGAUAGGGACGUUUCUGGAUGCAAGCCCAUGCAUACACAAUGUGAAGACUGACAUAGUAUAAAAUGUUUUUUAAAAUAGUUGUUUUUAGCUGUUAGCCUUAUUUUAAUACAUCUGAUUAGCCUUCUGUGAUUAGUGUAACUCUUCAUCACACAUGCUUUAUCAAAGAUGGAUAAAAUUAAAACAUUGGCAGCAGGGAGUGGGGUUUAAGACUAGUUAUGGUAAAGUGCUUUGAAGAUAUAAGAGCAUUGAGUGAAUACUAAGAAUUAUUCCCAAGACAUUUUUAAAGAAAAAAUACAAAAUUACUUUUUGGGUAAUGUUAAAACAGUAUCCGUCAGUCAUUAGUAUUUAACAUUGUAGAUGCCCUGGUUGAGAGGAGCCCAUAAAUCUGGCUAAGAACAUAUCUCCAUUUCAGACUUCCAAUUCCUGUAAGGAGACAUCUAAAAUAAGCCUAGUUCUCAAUUUUUUCUUGAUCCUCCUUAGCAAUGUAAAAUGUUCAGUUCAUAUGCAGAAAGAUGGCUAGUCAUUUCUGCAACCCAGACCUCUUGUCAAAAUAAAAGGGUUUAUCUCAUUUACA
rnacentral:lncRNA from 1 species